GGAAGGAUCAUUAACACGUAUCCACGUAUCAACACUCUGUGAACUUAAUUUCUGUCAAAAGAAAAGUUGUCAAUAUGGUUAGUGAUUGGUGUAUAGCCUUAAAAACUAUAUGCGAUCAUAUUGACUAGGGCUUCGAGCCUAGUGCUUUCUUUUGGCAUCAUCCCUAUCACUUAACAAACCACUUUAACUAUAACUCAUCUUGACUGAUGUACUUAUGUAAGAGAAAUCUGGCAUGAGUCUUUAUCUAAACUAAGCACAACUCUUAGCAAUGGAUAUCUUGGUUCUCGCAACGAUGAAGAACGCAGCGAAAUGCGAUAUGUAAUGCGAAUUGCAGAAUUCAGUGAAUCAUCAAAUCUUUGAACGCAAAUGGCGCUCUCGGGAUAGACCUGGGAGCAUGCCUCUCUGAGUAUCGGUUCAACCACAACUCACCAGCGUGUUUGCAAAAACAUAUCUGUGUGGAGAAUGAGAGUCUAGACUGCUAAGGUCUAGUCUUUUGAAAUAUGUUGAGCUUAGAUCUUCUAGUAUUCGGGUAACCGAUAGCCUUAUUGGCCUUUUCUACUAGUGACGUGGAUAAUAUCACUUCGGUGAUUGAAACGUCUGCUAUACUGAAAAAUCAGUCAGUAUGUGUGAACAAUUAGAGAAUCGACAGCGUAAAAUUGAACCCGUUGUAUGCAAAUAUAACGUUUCUGAAAUUAGAUCUCAGAUGAAGCAAGAGGACCCCCUGAAUUUAAGCAUAUUAAUAAGGGGAGGAAAAGAAACUAACAAGGAUUCCCUUAGUAACGGCGAGUGAAGCGGGAAAAGCUCAAUAUGAAAAUCGGUCACCCAGGCGGGUUGCCGAAUUGUAGCCUAGAGACGUGUUAUCAGCAGCAGCCCAGGUAUAAGUCCUUUGGAAGAAGGCAUCAAAGAGGGUGAGAAUCCCGUCCUUGACCUGGAGUCUGCUGCGUACGAUGCAUGUUCAUCGAGUCGAGUUGUUUGGGAUUGCAGCUCUAAAUGGGUGGUAAGUUUCAUCUAAAGCUAAAUACUGGCGAGAGACCGAUAGCGAACAAGUACCGUGAGGGAAAGAUGAAAAGAACUUUGAAAAGAGAGUUAAAUCAGUACUUGAAAUUGCUAAGAGGGAACGGCUGGAAACCAGUGCUGCUUGCGGUCAUUUUUGCUGUCUGCUCCCGAAGGUCAGUUCUAUCAGUUGGUAACUCUGGUAGGAUUGUUGGACGGAGGGUAGGUAGUACUGUGGCUGUGGGCGAGUCAGAAUCAGUUUGAUUCGUCGGAGAAAGCUAUGAGGAAGGUAGGGUCCCUCGGGACCUGUUAUAGCCUUGUAGCCAUACGAUGGAUUGGACUGAGGAAGUCAUGAUGCGCCUGCUGGCUUGGGACGCUGCUCCUGUUGGAUCAACUUGCGUGGAUAACAAUGUUAUGCUGUAGGUGAAGUCUGAUAAUGAGUGGCUGCUCUCUUAUGCAUCAUCGCGAUUCUGACGUAAAUGGUUUUCAUCCACCCGUCUUGAAACACGGACCGAGGAGUCUAACAUAUAUGCGAGUAUUUGGGUGGUAAACCCUGGUGCGUAAUGAAAGUAAAGGCAGCUUGCUGCUGAGGUAGGAAUCCCGCAAGGGAGGCACUAUCGACCGAUCAUCACUUGUGAAAGAUUUGAGUAAGAGCAUAUCUGUUGGGACCCGAAAGAUGGUGAUCUAUGCCUGAACAGGGUGAAGCCAGGGGAAACUCUGGUGGAAGCUCGUAGCGAUACUGACGUGCAAAUCGUUCGUCUGAUUUGGGUAUAGGGGCGAAAGACUAAUCGAACCAUCUAGUAGCUGGUUCCCUC
rnacentral:misc_RNA from 1 species